rnacentral:rRNA from 1 species
ACGGGUGAGUAACGCGUGGGAACGUACCUUUUGGUUCGGAACAACACAGGGAAACUUGUGCUAAUACCGGAUAAGCCCUUACGGGGAAAGAUUUAUCGCCGAAAGAUCGGCCCGCGUCUGAUUAGCUAGUUGGUGAGGUAAUGGCUCACCAAGGCGACGAUCAGUAGCUGGUCUGAGAGGAUGAUCAGCCACACUGGGACUGAGACACGGCCCAGACUCCUACGGGAGGCAGCAGUGGGGAAUAUUGGACAAUGGGCGCAAGCCUGAUCCAGCCAUGCCGCGUGAGUGAUGAAGGCCCUAGGGUUGUAAAGCUCUUUUGUGCGGGAAGAUAAUGACGGUACCGCAAGAAUAAGCCCCGGCUAACUUCGUGCCAGCUGCCGCGGUAAUACGAAGGGGGCUAGCGUUGCUCGGAAUCACUGGGCGUAAAGGGUGCGUAGGCGGGUCUUUAAGUCAGGGGUGAAAUCCUGGAGCUCAACUCCAGAACUGCCUUUGAUACUGAAGAUCUUGAGUUCGGGAGAGGUGAGUGGAACUGCGAGU